UGGGGAAUUUUGGACAAUGGGCGAAAGCCUGAUCCAGCAAUGCCGCGUGUGUGAAGAAGGCCUUCGGGUUGUAAAGCACUUUUGUCCGGAAAGAAAUCCUUGGCUCUAAUACAGUCGGGGGAUGACGGUACCGGAAGAAUAAGCACCGGCUAACUACGUGCCAGCAGCCGCGGUAAUACGUAGGGUGCAAGCGUUAAUCGGAAUUACUGGGCGUAAAGCGUGCGCAGGCGGUUUGCUAAGACCGAUGUGAAAUCCCCGGGCUCAACCUGGGAACUGCAUUGGUGACUGGCAGGCUAGAGUAUGGCAGAGGGGGGUAGAAUUCCACGUGUAGCAGUGAAAUGCGUAGAGAUGUGGAGGAAUACCGAUGGCGAAGGCAGCCCCCUGGGCCAAUACUGACGCUCAUGCACGAAAAGCGUGGGGAGCAAAACAGGAUUAGAUACCCUGGUAGUCCACGCCCUAAAACGAUGUCAACUAGUUGUUGGGGAUUCAUUUCCUUAGUAACGUAGCUAACGCGUGAAGUUGACCGCCUGGGGAGUACGGUCGCAAGAUUAAAAACUUAAAAGGAAUUGACGGGGUCAUAGCUGUUUCCU
rnacentral:rRNA from 1 species